rnacentral:pre_miRNA from 1 species
GUAAACGUUUCUUGCUCAAAUGAGUGUUCCAAAACCAGCAAGCGAUGGAGCAGUUCUGGGUUCAAAUACUCCAUCUGUUGUUUGCAUCUGAGAUGCUCAUUUGGGCAAGCAGUGUUUC